UAAAGGAAAAUCCAUCAUUUCCCUUUUUUAUUUCAGAUCUAAAUUCUUUUGUCUCUUCUCCUCUUCCAGCCAUCACAUCCGCCAUCGCCGUCUUUUUCCAUCUCCUUUCUGCCGGACAUGAUGGUGAUAAUGGUGGUAGUAGCGGAAGAUAUCAAAUCUUAUUAGUUAAUCUGUCCAAAUGAUUUUUCUUAUUAGAUUCAGACAUUUCUGUUACAUUUGGUGAUGAUGGUGGUGGUGGAUUGAGGAAGAUAUUAAAUCAUCGUUCCUUUAGAUGAUGGUGGUGGCGGCGGUAGCAGUGUAUUAUCUCUGUUCCAUCAAUUGAUAACAGUGGUGUUGGUGGUGGUGAUGGAGGAAAAAAGUAGUGAAGAUGUUCGUGGUUAUCGUUUUCUUAUUUUAUCCUGGCCAAUUGAAAUAGAUUUCGUCUUCCAAUUUCGACAUCAACAAUAGGAAUUGAAGGUUCUGCUGUCGUGGUGAUGAUGGAGAUGAAAAGAAGUUAAAAUGAUGGUGAGAGAUUGUGGUGGUUUUUGUUGGAAUGAAAUUGGUAAUGGAGGGAUCAGAAUAAUGGUUGUGAUCAGGUUGGAUUAAUGAAAUUGGUGAUGCAGAUAGUGGUGGAUGGAGGUUGAGUGUGAUUGUUGGUGGUGGUGGUGGUGAUGGUGAGAUUGGAAUGAUAAAUUGGUGAUGGAGAUAGUGUUGUCUUGUUAGAAGAUUUGUGAAUUACAGGAGCAUAUGUUCAGGGUCAGAGAAUAAUACAAGGGAAUUCCCACAAAUAUCAAAGGAUAAAGAGAUGCUUUAGUGUACCUAUGCUGAUAGUGUAUUCCUUGUGCUUUUGAAACGCAAAUUCGAAAUUUCUUGGUUACUUGCUCAAAAUUAGUAGUACUAGUAUCCGAGUCCCAUACUUGAUGGCAGCGAGAAUAACUAAGUGUGCUCUUCUAAGCUUGGUGCGGUAAUGCCGCAAUGAUAUUUGAAUUGCAAUUCAAAGCCAUUGGUAGUGUGUGUGUGGGUGUGGUGUUGUAGAUCCGCUUUCAAAUAUAAUGGUCGAAAGAAUGAAAACUUCAGUACCAAGAUGUUCAAUGGUUAUUGUUGACAGACAUUACAACAUUGAAAUGCAACGUAGAUUGUAGUGAUAAUGUUUAAUGCAUAUAUGUGAUUGCAGGUAGCACGCUGAAAUGAGUUCUAGUAGCUGCGUUCUUGGUGAAGACAUUGUAUCGUUUGGUAACGGGAGUGCUCUUACUGACAAGCGUAUGAUCAAUUAUUCUUUUUCCUUGUGUUACUGUGGGAUGAGAAUUGGUGGCGACAUGAUGGUUCUUGGUACAAUUAAUCCUCUCUUUGAGACGGUCUUUUCUCAUUCAGAUGCUAAUGGUAGGUACUAUUUUAUACUAAUUUCUCCAGUAAGAGAUAAUAACUUGUUUAUUUCCUACAAAUACGUUUGAUGCAUCUCACACAUUAGUCUUGGGAUGGAAACAGUCUGUAUUACAACAUUAAACUAAGAAACUGCAUGUUGGCCGAGAUCAGCUGAAGGCAAACCCAAAUGUCUUUAACAGGAAGCAUGACACUGUCCCGGAUUAGUGGUAAUAAAUUUGCUUACCUGCCUGCACCAGUGUUUGUUGCCGACUUGCUUGCGGAAAGCGUUGUGUCAGAACAAUCUUUGAAAUUUAGUUUUACAAAGUUCCUGUUUUUCUAAAAGUGUUUUUAAGGGAGGAUCAUUUUGGAAAGGCCUUCAACUGUGUAGUGAGGCUCAGCUAGAAAAACUCUUUUCCUCUCUCCUACAAUGGCAUUGAGAAAAUAGCUUCAGUUUAUCUUUGGUAAGAGAUGAUUACGGACUUUUUCAGCCACAGCGCAAUGAAGAAAGAUGUGCUCUGAACAUUCAGGUUCAAGCCCACAAAGUGCCUGGAACGCUAGGCGAGGCACCAGGCCCCUAAUACAAUUAUGAAACUGCCAAACACCCUAUUGAUUAUGUUUCUUUAGUAACCAAUGUAAGCACAUGGAUUUGGUUAAAGCCGAAAGCAUCGGAAUGGGGUCUUCGAAGCCACCAUUGACGAUAGCCCAACAAGCCGAGGUUGCCAGCAACAAUGACAUGGCAAGCCGAGGUCGCCAGCAACGAUGACAUGGCACAUACGGGGUGCCCUCAAGAGAUAAUUAGUGAUUGCCUAAAUAACCCCAACUGUAAUAGUACACGUGUACGGCUAAUGACUAAAGACUUACUAAGAAAAGAUAUUAGGGUACACGUGUACAGCAGGCUUUGCCUAUAACGAGAUAUAGAGAGAGCCUCUAGCGAGAGAUAAAGCUUUUCAAAGAAUUGUAUUGUGUAUUGGGAUUAAUCUCCUCACAACCUCAUAACAAUAGGGGGUGUUUCCAUUUGGCGACUUCACUGGGAAUAAUCCUCAAUACCACUACACAAACCCAAAAUCAUGGAUUCGGGUACGUAACACAAUCGUGCCUCCGAAAACAAGACAUAUCUACUAAUCGACCAUCUGAUCACCAAUUCGAAUCAAAUAGCAUCUCUUGAGCACCAACAAAAAGAGCAAGAAUCAGACACCAUGUGCACCGAGGUAGAAACUGAAGUAGGAUCCCCAUUCAGAGCCGAAGAAGGAGGAGAUCCAGAGGAUAGAACCAGUACGUGCAGAAUAUGGGAAAUUUUUUUCCAAGUUCUUUUGGGAUCUUCAUUUCACUAAACACCAACAGGAGAUGGCCUGCAUGCACA